UGCAAUUUUCAGAGUGUUUCGAAGCUCACAAAUAUUGGCUAUAAAAUGGCACCUUCCAUUGGCUAUCAAAUCCCAAAUCAAAACUAAAGGAGAGAGAGAGUCUGCAAAUCCAUACAUAUAUACCGAACCUUCAACAUGUCUGAAGAAUCUGCUCAAAGGAAAACUCGAUGGCCAGAGCUUGUCUUUAUAAAAUUUUCUAUUGCUGCUGCAAUCAUUGAAAAAGAGAAUCCUGAUGUGAAGGCUAUCAAGAUCCUAGCUGAUAGUCCCAGAAUUUUAAAUUUUGAUGAAACCCGAGUUUGGGUUGAUGUCAAUAUUGAAGAUGUGGUUGUGAAAACUCCCAGUGUCGGUUAGGGAUUGUGAUGUAUAAGGUCAAUCAUAUGUAUAUUGUAUAUGCAUAUGCUAAGUGAAUUGUAUGCUUAAUUAUGUCCUUCAAUUAUGCUAAUAAGUGGUAUUUCUAUCAUUGCUACUCAUGGUUCCAACAA